rnacentral:sRNA from 1 species
CUCUUCAAGUGGCCUGGGAGCGCGCGCAUGCUCGCUGCUGGGAACCGGCCGGGGUGCCGGGUCGAACGACAGACGCGCGGUCCGGGCGUGCGCGGGCUCGGCGGAGGGCGGGAAGGCUGAAGGGCGGUGACAGGUCGCACUGCCUCGCGAGGGCCAGAACGCCCAUUUCUGCAGAGGUGCACUCAGUGGCGUGGGAAAUCCAAUGCAUCCGGUUAUCCCAGUUCGGCCUCUCUGGGAUUCCGCGGGGGUGGGGGGGGGGUGUCUGGUUUGGUUUGGUUUGGUUCAAAGUAGCGCAGAGCCUGACUGAGCGGGAGGUGGAGUGGAAGGAGAGAAAAGGGGUGAAGGAUUAGACAGAAGAAGACUUUGAACUAGGAACAGUGGCAACCAGGGUGACCCAGGCUUUUGUGACCCGUAGAGGCAGAGGGUGAGGAGUCACGCCCUCUCUCGCCAGAUUUUGGGCGGCCCUGUGGAGACACCCUGUGCCCUUUAAGGGACGUGGAUUGAGUCGGGACCUCAAAAUGUGAGCCUUUCCUCAGACCCAGCUUUGACCCACGUACUCGCCUUUCCUCAACUCAUUUUCAUACUUUCGCUUGGCUAUAUAUUUUUUAAAUAUUGUGUUAAGCACUUGAGGUUCAUUUCUGCCCCUACUGUAUGUGCACCCUGUGCCAGAAGGUGGGGUGAACACGUGUGUAGCAGUCAUGCGUCCUGUCUACAGGGGCCGAUGCACCUCCUUGCAACCCUUUACAUUCCACUGUGAAACAAACCUCAACUUUUUCUUAUUCCUGUUUUUCCACCGUGCUUAUAGCUGCCUUAAUCCAUGUUCCCUUCGGGAUGCUGGUAUCCAACUGAGAAGUUUAUGGAGCACCUAUCAUGUGCCAGGCACUGUGCUAAGUGCUAGUGAGAAAUCGGUGAGCGAAACAGAAAAGAAAAAAAAAGAAGAAAAGACUGCCAGCAUUGAACUUAGUACCUAGCAAAGUAGAUGGACAUAAAUCAAAUUAUCAGACAAGUAAAUGAGGAGUUGCAGCUGUGAUAAGGGGUAUGAAGAAUAGGCGCUUCCAUGAUGGCGGAACAUGACCUAGUCUGGGGUGGAGAAGGGGAGAUGAUUCCAGCUGGAAUAUGGCAGGUGAGAGUUAACUGAUAGCACUGAGUUGGCAGAGGCAGGAUGACCUGCUCCAGGCAGGUGCCCCAGAAUGAGAGGACGUUGCUGCUGGUGGAACUCCAGCUUUAAAGCAGUGGAUCUAGGGCCACAUUCCUCAAGGCCAUAGCAAACAGGAAAGACCUUUUGGACUAGGGUCUUUGGAGUAGUCACAUGAGGCCAAGACCCCAAUAGGGCUGAAAGAGAAUCUCAUCAUAGGCUGAAUGGGAGCAGAGCAUUAGCUGCAACUCCAAUGUAUUAUAGUAAAAGGGGACACAUUGAUUAGAAUGAUUAUACCCCUCCAAGUGUAAGCUGUUGUUCAAUUUACCCAGGGCUUAAAAAUAUGUCAACUCUUCACAACCAUUUUUACUGCAAGCCACACUCAACCUGUGUUGUUCCCUGAACCUGUGAUGCACUUUCAUCUGUUCAUGUCUCUACACAUCCUUCCUGGGCCCCAUAGAGGCCCUGCACCUUAAGGUUUUCAGCUGGAUUCCUAUUAGCUAGUUAUUUUAUCUCAGGUACAGAGAGUUAACUUUGCUCCUCAAUUUUCAGCACAUUGUCUUAUCAGUUCCUACAAGGUCCUUGUUUAUAUUAUUUUUUCCUCAUCUUUCUCGAUCCCCACUCUCAUUCUUCUAGACACAAACUGCAAUAUGUUCGAUAGAGAUCCUUGAUAAUUUAAGACAGAUAAUGUUUUGUUUAUGCCUCUUGCAUUUACGGAGAUGUUAUUGGACUGUAAAUCUCUAUUUCCCACUGUUUUACUCAACACUCUGUUUUUGAGCUAUACCCACAUUGCUGUGUGUACACCUAGUUUGCUACCGAGUAUGCCAGAAAUUUUAUUCAUACAUAUCCCUACUGAUCGGGCAUCUAGGUUACUGCCAACUCCCUGAAGUCAUACUGUGGUGAAAACCCUUGUGAAUGUCUUUACAAACCUUUGCCAGAACUUAUUUUGUGCUCUUGUAGAACUUUGUGCGUACCCUCUGCUUCCUCAUUACACUGCUUGGCAUAUAGCAGGGACUCAACAAAUGUUGCAUACCUCUACUCUGAUGGUUAGUGUACUAGAAUAAUUUAUUUAUAUUUCUGUUUUCCUUAUUGGAUUAUUAGUACCUUCCAGACAGGGCAAAUGUCUUUUCUAUCUUUGUGUCCCUGGCACAUUAAAAGUGGUUGAUUUCAAGUUAUGUUCAAUGAAUGAAUAAAUACUUAUCUUCACUGCCAGUAC